GCAAUCUCUUCGCUUGGUUCAUUUCUGUUUAGUUCUGAAAAUAGAGAGCUGUGGAUUAUUUGAGAAAUAAUGAAAUUCCAGAUUUUAUUCUGGAUAUCGUUGAGCUUCCUAUUGGUCUGGAUAGGAAUAUAUGCAGCAUCAGCCAGUAAAUUACUAGCCGCAUUUCCCAAAAUAGUGCGACCAGGAUCCCCUUUAAUUGUGAACUGUCACCUGUUAAAACGUGGAAGCCAAAAUUUGAUAUUAGAACUUGUAAAGGACGGAAGUACAAUACGUCAAAAUACGUCCACUGUCACUUUUGGAAAGCAGCAUAAUAUCAUGCUAAACGUA